GAGUUUGAUCCUGGCUCCCGACGAACGCUGGCGGCGUGCUUAACACAUGCAAGUCGAACGGAGUGCCUAUGAAAGAGACUUCGGUCAAUGGAUUAGGUUACUUAGUGGCGGACUGGUGAGUAACGCGUGAGGAACCUGCCUUUCAGAGGGGGACAACAGUUGGAAACGACUGCUAAUACCGCAUGACACAUCGAUGGGGCAUCCCAUUGAUGUCAAAGAUUUAUCGCUGAAAGAUGGCCUCGCGUCUGAUUAGAUAGUUGGCGGGGUAACGGCCCACCAAGUCGACGAUCAGUAGCCGGACUGAGAGGUUGACCGGCCACAUUGGGACUGAGAUACGGCCCAGACUCCUACGGGAGGCAGCAGUGGGGAAUAUUGGGCAAUGGACGCAAGUCUGACCCAGCAACGCCGCGUGAAGGAAGAAGGCUUUCGGGUUGUAAACUUCUUUUGUCAGGGAAGAGCAGAAGACGGUACCUGACGAAUAAGCCACGGCUAACUACGUGCCAGCAGCCGCGGUAAUACGUAGGUGGCAAGCGUUGUCCGGAUUUACUGGGUGUAAAGGGCGUGUAGCCGGGCCGACAAGUCAGAUGUGAAAAUCCGCGGGGCUUAACCCGCGAACUGCAUUUGAAACUGUUGGUCUUGAGUAUCGGAGAGGUAAUCGGAAUUCCUAGUGUAGCGGUGAAAUGCGUAGA
rnacentral:rRNA from 1 species